rnacentral:rRNA from 1 species
GACGAACGCUGGCGGCGCGCUUAACACAUGCAAGUCGAGCGAGAACCAGGGCUUCGGCCCUGGGGACAGCGGCGAACGGGUGAGUAACACGUGGGUAAUCCACCCUCGGCACCGGAAUAGCCCGGGGAAACCCGGAUUAAUGCCGGAUGGCCCGCCGGCCCCGAGGGGCUGGCGGAAAAGGUAGCUUCGGCCUCCGGCCGAGGACGAGCCCGCGACGGAUUAGCUUGUUGGUGGGGUAACGGCCUACCAAGGCUGCGAUCCGUAGCUGGUCUGAGAGGACGAACAGCCACACUGGGACUGAGACACGGCCCAGACUCCUACGGGAGGCAGCAGUGGGGAAUCUUGCGCAAUGGGCGAAAGCCUGACGCAGCGACGCCGCGUGGGGGAAGAAGGCCUUCGGGUUGUAAACCUCUUUCAGGAGGGACGAAGCCACUCGGGUUAAUAGCCCAGAGGGUGACGGUACCUCCAGAAGAAGCCCCGGCUAACUACGUGCCAGCCGCCGCAGUAAUAC